CGGUGUUUAACUGGCGUGAUGUGGGACGUCCUACCGGUGGGCUUAGCCUCGCGAGGGGCGGCCCAACUAAUAUCCCGUCGCGGUGCUCUUUACUGAGUGUCGAGUCGGGCCGGUACGUUUACUUUGAACAAAUUAGAGUGCUUAAAGCAGGCUAUCCUCGCCUGAAUACUGCGUGCAUGGAAUAAUGGAAUAGGACCUCGGUUCUAUUUUGUUGGUUUUCGGAACCCCGAGGUAAUGAUUAAUAGGGACAGAUGGGGGCAUUCGUAUUGCGACGUUAGAGGUGAAAUUCUUGGAUCGUCGCAAGACGGACAGAAGCGAAAGCAUUUGCCAAAAAUGUUUUCAUUAAUCAAGAACGAAAGUUAGAGGUUCGAAGGCGAUCAGAUACCGCCCUAGUUCUAACCAUAAACGAUGCCAGCUAGCGAUCCGCCGAAGUUCCUCCGAUGACUCGGCGGGCAGCUUCCGGGAAACCAAAGCUUUUGGGUUCCGGGGGAAGUAUGGUUGCAAAGCUGAAACUUAAAGGAAUUGACGGAAGGGCACCACCAGGAGUGGAGCCUGCGGCUUAAUUUGACUCAACACGGGAAACCUCACCAGGCCCAGACACCGGAAGGAUUGACAGAUUGAUAGCUCUUUCUUGAUUCGGUGGGGUGGGUGGUGCAUGGCCGUUCUUAGUUGGUGGAGCGAUUUGUCUGGUUAAUUCCGAUAACGAACGAGACUCUAGCCUGCUAAAUAGGCGUACCUUAUGGUAUCGCGAAGGCCCCCGGCUUCGGCCGGUGGGUUUUUACUACCAACGUACAAACAAAUCUUCUUAGAGGGACAGGCGG
rnacentral:rRNA from 1 species